rnacentral:sRNA from 1 species
ACUGAUAUUAGAAUAGCUAUAUACAGGACACGGUAGUGGCACUGAAGACAGGAAGAUUAUUUUUAACCUAUGCAAAGGGAGGAAAAGAAUGCUAAAGCUGAUCUGGAGUUUGAAAGGCAGAGGAACGGACUAGAUACUUCUCAGUCUUCUACCUGUCCAUCAAUGCAGGGAGCUUGAUUUCUACAUUUAUCACACCCAUGCUGAGAGGAGAUGUGCAAUGUUUUGGAGAAGACUGCUAUGCAUUGGCUUUUGGAGUUCCAGGACUGCUCAUGGUAAUUGCACUUGUUGUGUUUGCAAUGGGAAGCAAAAUAUACAAUAAACCACCCCCUGAAGGAAACAUAGUGGCUCAAGUUUUCAAAUGUAUCUGGUUUGCUAUGUCCAAUCGUUUCAAGAACCGUUCUGGAGACAUUCCAAAGCGACAGCACUGGCUAGACUGGGCAGCUGAGAAAUAUCCAAAGCAGCUCAUUAUGGAUGUAAAGGCACUGACCAGGGUACUAUUCCUUUAUAUCCCAUUGCCCAUGUUCUGGGCUCUUUUGGAUCAGCAGG